rnacentral:rRNA from 1 species
GAGUUUGAUCCUGGCUCAGAACGAACGUUAGCGGCGCGCCUAACACAUGCAAGUCGAGCGAGAAAGGGAGCAAUCCCCGGUACAGCGGCGCACGGGUGAGUAACACGUAGGUAAUCUGCCUCCGAGUGGGGGAUAACCUUCCGAAAGGAGGGCUAAUACCGCAUGAGACCACGCCUUCGAGAGGAGGAGGGGUCAAAGCCGGCCACUAUACAUAAGCUGGCGCUUGGAGAUGAGCCUGCGGCCCAUCAGCUUGUUGGUAGGGUAACGGCCUACCAAGGCAAAGACGGGUAGCUGGUCUGAGAGGAUGAUCAGCCACACUGGAACUGAGACACGGUCCAGACUCCUACGGGAGGCAGCAGUGGGGAAUCUUGCGCAAUGGGCGAAAGCCUGACGCAGCGACGCCGCGUGGGUGAUGAAGGCC